GUCUACUGUCAUACCACCCUAAACAUGCCCGAUCUCGUCUGAUCUCGGAAGCUAAGCUGGGUCGGGCCUGUUAGUACUUGGAUAGGAGAAAUGUUAUGCU
rnacentral:rRNA from 1 species